AUUGAACGCUGGCGGCAGGCUUAACACAUGCAAGUCGAGCGGGGAAAGGUAGCUUGCUACUUUACCUAGCGGCGGACGGGUGAGUAAUGCUUAGGAAUCUGCCUAUUAGUGGGGGACAACAUCUCGAAAGGGAUGCUAAUACCGCAUACGUCCUACGGGAGAAAGCAGGGGACCUUCGGGCCUUGCGCUAAUAGAUGAGCCUAAGUCGGAGUAGCUAGUUGGUGGGGUAAAGGCCUACCAAGGCGACGAUCUGUAGCGGGUCUGAGAGGAUGAUCCGCCACACUGGGACUGAGACACGGCCCAGACUCCUACGGGAGGCAGCAGUGGGGAAUAUUGGACAAUGGGGGGAACCCUGAUCCAGCCAUGCCGCGUGUGUGAAGAAGGCCUUUUGGUUGUAAAGCACUUUAAGCGAGGAGGAGGCUACCGAGAUUAAUACUCUUGGAUAGUGGACGUUACUCGCAGAAUAAGCACCGGCUAACUCUGUGCCAGCCGCCGCCGUAA
rnacentral:rRNA from 1 species